rnacentral:misc_RNA from 1 species
GAUGAAGAACGCAUCGAAAUGCGAUAAGUAGUGUGAAUUGCAGAAUUCAGUGAAUCAUCGAAUCUUUGAACGCACAUUGCGCCCUUUGGUAUUCAUUAGGGCAUGCCUGUUCGAGCGUCAUCUAAACCCUCAAGCGCUGCUUGGUGUUGGGUGCCUGUCCCGCCCCCGCGCGUGGACUCACCUCAAAUCCAUUGGCGGCCCUCACGUCGGCUUCGAGCGCAGCAGAAACGCGAACUCGUGGCCCGGCGGAGCGGCUCCCAGAAGCUACUUUCAACAUUUUGACCUCGGAUCAGGUAGGGAUACCCGCUGAACUUAAGCAUAUCAAUAAGCGGAGGA